UCAUACAUCUGCCAACACACACACAUAUACGCAUCUCUCUCUUUCGGUCUAGGAAUUCCCAAACCACCGGAACUACCAAACCCUACUCACUUCACACUGUUCAAACAAACCCAACAAUGUCGAAAGACAUCAAUGAGGACUUGUUGGCGAUGAAAAAUUUCAGAGCGUCGGUUAUGGCAAUGGCAAGCGCUGACCCAAACAAACCCUUUACGGACGCCCGAAAAAGCCUCAUCGAUAAACUCAUUCGAGAGUUCUUCGACCACACUCGCACUCAUGACCAUCCAACCUACUCCGUGAUGAUACAUAAGGCGAUUGAGGAGUUGAAUGAGGAAGGUGGUUCUAGUGAAGUCAAUAUCGAAUUUUAUUGGAGAGGAGUAUAAUGAAUUGCCAUGGGCACAUUCUACAUUCUUGAAUCAUCAUCUGAGGAAACUUUCUUAGAGUGGUGAGAUUGAUUGGACUCUUCACAAUUCUUAUUUGCUUGCUGGUGCAAUCACGAAACAAAAAUCUAGCUCUAGCCUUGGCUCUAAGAGGAAGGAACCGAAGAGAAAGCCGAGCAAGAGAACUGGUGCAAUCAGAAUAUCAAUUGAAAGAACCAAGGGAAGUCAUUGAAGAACAAAAUCGAGUUGACAAACAAAAUCAUGAUGGUGAGAAGGGUGAUGGUAGGAAAUUAAAGGUACUGCCCGUUGAGUCUCUUGAGCCCAUUAUUGAAGAAGAAAAGAAAGAAUUAGGUCUGCAGCCACAACAGCAAUUAGGUCUUCCAGUAGCAGAAUUGGAUCAGCUAGAGCAGUUGACACAGGAGAAGCCACAACACAGGCAAUUGUGGCCUCGACCUCCCAAAGCUACAAGAAUGACCGAAUCAUUGCCCUCACAACAUCAGCAUGAGCAACCAGAGUGCCAAGCCCAAAUGUGGAUUCCCCAACCAAAACCUGAUAUGGCUACACUGUAGCCGCUACAGUAGUGUUGCCUUCAGCUAAUCAGCACCAACAGGAGGAGCAGCAAGUGCCAUCAUUGCAAGGCCAAGGGAAUGCUCCUAAUCGUCGAGGCUGGGGGAGGCCUAAGAAGCAGCAGGAACAACCAAAGCGUCGAGGGAGGCCUCCUAAGCCCAAACCAACUAGCAGUAUAGAUAUGAAGACUCAGUGAAGCAGCUGCAGCCCAAGUGUGGGUACUAAAGAUGGACUAAGGAAUUCAAGGACAGUAACUGUGGUAAGUGAAAUUUUGUACUUUUGACUAGCAUCAACACCAUAGUGGUUGGUUUAUGCAACAUAGUAUACUUCAACUGUGUUCUUGUCACUGGCAAUCGUGGCUUAGUUAAUUUGUUGCUGUUGUAUAUGAGUUGGUUUUGAUUCCUUUGUGUUUUUACCCAUUCUUCGAGUUAACCUCUGCGCACAAUAAAUGUCUAGAUGAUGUAUAUUUACAAGAACCAGAGUUAUUAAUAUGCAAAACUACUAAGCAGAUAUAUUACUAAUUAUUUUAAAAACUAUUAGAUUGAAAAUGAUAUGUAUUAGUUGUAGCACUAGUUGUAAGAAGCAAAAAUUCUCUUAUGAAGAUUUUCUUUUUCCUCUGUUAUUGUCGGAUUUAGAAUGAUGGAACAAUGCCAUAUCCAUGUUCUUGUCAUUAGUGUUGUAGACAGCAUCUGGUCCACUUUCAACUUCUACACUUGUUCUCUUUGCAGACCGGCCCUUGAUCCGGGGUCUGGUUUCUGUGUAGGCCUUCCUUUGAGGCAUACCUGAUUGUGUUCUCAAACUUCAUCGACGUCUUCUUCUCUCUGUAAUUUGAGGAGGGAUCUGAAUGGGAGUGUUCGUGAAAUGGUCAAUUGUUCCAAAUAUUCCAAAGAAUUGUAGGGAUGAGUCUUCUACAAACGUCAUGUCUGAUGGUAUUUGAUGCAAAGGAAGCAGAAGCCCACUCAACUAACUAAACUAUAGUUUGAAAAACAGGCAAGUUCCAAUGCAAUAGAUCUAAAAAGCAUCUUGAUUUCUUUCUGAUUGUGUAAAAAGAAUGAAGAUGGUGCAGAUCUGACAUCUAUGUAGUUCAGUGGUGAGUUAUUCCACAGUUAAAUGAUAUGGUAGUGAAUUUAUGUAUAUAAUAUAUAUAUACAUAUAUAUAUAAACACGAAAUCGACAUAUUGGUCACUGAGCCGAGCUCAAGUUUGCCCAAACAAUGUUGAGCUGAGCUUGAACGCCUGAGCAUGGCUUGAACAUCAUUAAGCUUAGCUCAUUUAGAGCCCUAGCGUUACAAGGGAAAGCUUGUCCUAUAUCAAAUCUGAAUAGGAAAGUAAAUAGCUAUAAAUGGGUUGGGUGUUAACCUACCUAACAAUUUAAGCUUUUGAGUCGGAUCGCGAAGUACCCGACUCGUUACACUUAGUUACUAGAAAAGAUAUGACCACUAAUGGAAGAGCUUGUAAAAUUAGGGUGGCAGUAAACUUAGAUGGUUUGAACACUUACAUCGAAGACCUACUAACAUGCAAGUCAAAAAUAAAAAAUAAAAAUAAAAAUAAAAGUGUAAUAGGAGAUAAGAAACGAAAAAGCCGUCCAAAAAUAAUUUAUGAAAAAAAAAAAAAAAAAUUUAGUAUAGUGUACAUUGCAUGUUGAUUGAUUUUUCGGUGGUGUCAUGUUGUGCAGAUGAUACAUGUAUCAUAAGGCGAUUGAGGAGUUGAAUGAGGAAGGUGGUUCUAGUGAAGAGUCAAUAUUGAAUUUUAUUAGAAAGGAGUAUAAUGAAUUGCCAAGGGCACAUUCUACAUUCUUGAAUCAUCAUCUUGGGAAGCUUUGUGUGAGUGGUGAGAUUGUUUUGACUCUCAGUAAUUCUUAUUUGCUUGCUGGUGCAAUUGUGAAACAAAAACCUGGCUCUAGCCGUGGCUCUAAGAGGAAGGAACUGAAGAGAAAACGGAGCAAGAAGCAGGGUAGGCCACGUAAAAAAGAAAAAAUUGAAGCAGAAUAUCAAUUGAAAGAACCAAUGGAAGUGAUUGAAGAACAUAAUCAAGCAUUAGAAGAUCAUACUGAAGUGGUUGAUAAACAAAAUCAAUAACAAAUUGGUGAGAUGUUGCUGGCCUGUGAUGAUGGUGGCUCUAAGAGGAAGGAAGUGAAGAGAAAAUGGAGCAAGAAGCGGGUAGGCCACGUAAAAAAGAACCAAUGGAAGUGAUUGAAGAACAGAAUCUAGCAUUAGAAGAUCGUACCAAAGUGGUUGAUAAACAAAAUCAAGAACAAAUUGGUGAGAUGUUGCUGGCCUGUGAUGAUGGUGGCUCUAAGAGGAAGGAAGUGAAGAGAAAACAAAGCAAGAAGCGUCACGUAAAAAAGAAGAAAUUGAAGCAGAAUAUCUAUUGAAAGAACCAAUGGAAGUGAUUGAAGAACAUAAUCAAGCAUUAGAAGAUCGUACUGAAGUGGUUGAUUUUUGGUGAGAUGUUGCUGGCCUGUGAUGAUGGUGGCUCUAAGAGGAAGGAAGUGAAGAGAAAACGGAGCAAGAAGCGGGGUAGGCCACGUAAAAAAAAUUGAAGCAGAAUAUCAAUUGAAAGAGCCAAUGGAAGUGAUUGAAGAACGAAUCAACCAUUAGAAGAUCGUAGAUAAACAAAAUCAAGAACAAAUUGGUGAGAUCUUGCUGGCCUGUGAUGAUAGUGAGAAGGGUGAUGGUAGUAAAUUAAACGUGCUGCGAGUCUCUUGAGCCUAUCAUGGAAGAAGAGAAGAGAGAAUUUUCAGAGGAGAAAGAGCAGCUGAUGAAGAAGAGUCAUGGAGAGGAAAGUUUUGAUAUCGUUGGUUUUCAGCCACAACAACAAUUAGAUCUUCCAAUUCCAGAAAAGUCUUCAGAACUAAAAUCCAUAGCAGAGAGUUGUACCCAGGAUCAACUGGAGCAGCGGAUGCAGGAGAAUUCACAGUGCAGGCAAUUAGGGCGUCGACUGAUGCAGGAGAAGCCACAAGUAUGCAGGAGGAGCGCAGGCAAUUACGGCCUCGACCUCCUGAAGCUGGAUCACUAGCAGCUACAAGUAUGACCGAAUCAUUGUCCUCAUAUCAGCAUGAGGAACAGCUGGACAUCUCACCAAUUUGUUCUUGAUUUUGUUUAUAAACCACUUCAGUACGAUCUUCUAAUGCUUGAUUUUGUUCUUCAAUCACUUCCAUUGGUUCUUUCAAUUGAUAUUCUGCUUCAAUUUCUUCUUUGUUACGUUGCCUACCCCGCUUCUUGCUCCGUUUUCUCCACUUCCUUCCUCUUAGAGCCACCAUCAUCAUCACAGGCCAGCAACAUCUCACCAAUUUGUUCUCUUCAGCACGAUCUUCUAAUGCUUGAUUCUGUUCUUCAAUAGCCUAAGAAGCAGCAGGAGCAACCGAAGUAGCAGGAGAAACCAUAUGAAACUCAGUGAAAGCAGCAACAGCCCGAGUGUUGGGACUUUGGAAGGUCGCUAAAGCUGGACCAAGGAAUUCAAGGACAAUAACUAUGGUAAAUGGAAUUUUGUACUUUUGACUUGCAUAAACAUCAUAGUGGUUGGUGUAUGCAACAUAGUAUACGUCUAGUAGAAGUAGAUUGUUGGGCUUCAACUGUGUUCUGUCACUGCCAA